UGUGUGUGUGUGUGUGAGAAAGCAUGUGACUGAUGAGCACAUUCAGGAGGGAGGAAGCCCUCCACUAUUAAACUGCCAGAAUACCUCGCACAAGUUUCCACUGACCUGAAUUGCGCAUCUAUAACCAUGCCAAAGCAAACACAGUUUUAAAAGAGAUAAUUAAAAGAGAGUGUUGCUUGGAAAAUUUCUGAAGCCAGCAGGAUGAGUAAUGGCACCAAUAGCACAGCAGCACAAGGCAAAAAUGGGGACAUUUUUAGCACAGUGCUGUUACUGUAUUGUGUUAUUUUGCUUCUUACCAUCAUAACCUUUCUUCUACUGAUCAUAUUGCUCAAAAAGUACUGCAAAAUGUGCAAAGAUUCCAGGCCUGACUCGAACAUUGAAGGAGGCACUUUUCGCAUGAGUGAUCUCAAAUGUAAUUCAGACCUUGAUAAUCCUAAUAACGACAUCAUCAGUCAAUCAAACAACUUACAAAACUAUACUGCAUGCGAUGAUGAUUCGUCCUCUACUAGCUCCGAGAGCUUGUGUCAUUCAUAUGGAGAUAAACACAAUGACAAUAACCAGCAAUAUAUGAGUUUGAAAACCACCCUUCAAAGUGCAGAUUAUGAAAAUAUUCCUGAAGGAAAAUCCACCAGCGCACUAGAUUAUGAAAAUAAGAAGGCAAAGAAAAACCGAGACUAUGUAAAUGUAGAAGAACAGCAGAAUAUGCCUUUAACUAAGGGCAGAAGAAGCAAAACUGACAGGCAUCAAGAAGACCAGGAUGAGAGUCAAACCAGCAGUGAGAGCAGCAGCGACGAGAGCGACGACCAGUCUAUAAAUUACAGCAUGGUUGUCUUUAAAGAAGCCACAAAUACAGUCAAAAGAGAGCACUGAAGCUGCUUUUCUGCUUCAAGAUGUUUUUAAUAAUAUUUCAUUUGCUUUUUAUCUUUUUUUUUUUACUGCAUUCUGUCAGUGGUGCAGUCAAUAAUCAUAUACUAGCUCAAUCAUGACUUAACAACAUGCUCUAAAAUGACUGCUUUUAUUUUCAGUGCUGGUUUCAUUUGUCAGGUGCUUUUGAAUGUGAGGUAUAAUGUGCAUUUUCACCAUAUAUGGUAAAAGAGACCUAAUUUUAGGUACAAGACCUGCAUUAUGUUUUUGAUCUGAUAAAUGUAGUCUGUGGUACUGAUUGUAAUCAUAAUAUCCUGUAAAGCAGGAACCACCGCGUGCAGCUAAGCAGGGUGGCAAGAUGAAAGGCUUAUUUUCAGUUUCUGUAUUUCUGUGUGCUAGUAAUUAGUCUAUUUCAUAUACUUUGAGUUUUUUCUAUGCAAACAUUACAGUUUUAUUCAGUCAAGCUUGUUAUUGUUAUAAAAUGCUGAACUUGUACAAAGUUUUUUUUUUAUUAUUGUUUUAUUGUACCAGUUUAGUUUCAGUUAUUUUUAUGGUAGUGUAUUGGAGUAUUCAUCUAUAAGUACAUUUGGAUUUCUUUGGAUUUUUGAUUUGAGGAUUAAUCUUUUAUUGUCACAGGUCUUAUGUUCAAUUUCUAAUCACUGGAAAACACCCAUUUUUUUCAUACUGAAUUCUACAUACAAAAAAUACAAAAAAUAUCUUCCAAUAUUUUUAUUUUUAUAU
ensembl:lncRNA